GGGUGCACUCUUAUUCAUGGGCCCUUUCCCUCUAUAUUUGAACCCCUAUGGAUCGUCUCUCGAGUCGUUCCCUUUGGUUGCUUACAAUCCACCACACUUCCCUGCAAGUUCACGCCCUCGUGAACGGAAGCUGAGAGCCGCAGCUCUCCCGAGAGCCUCGCUCUCUUGACACCCUACCCCUCGGGUCGAGCCCAGCGGGAGCAAACUGGACCAGCCAGAUAUCAAUCAACAUGUGGUGCGAUUCCCCUAAGCCAACCAACAGAGUCGGACCC
rnacentral:lncRNA from 1 species